GUGGCAAUCCUAGUGUAAGAUCUGGCUCAGGACAUGCUGGAUAGCAAUUAACGGCCAUGACCUGAGAGCCUUCUGCAAUGUCUUCAUGUGACAUGGACGUAACACGACAAGUACGGUACCUGGAAGAAACCUAGUUCCUUGCAAGCCAGGUGUACUUCCUGGAUUAUCUGAGGCCGAAGAAGAGGGUGUCGCAGAAAGGAUAGAUCCACAACGGGCAAGCAUGUGUCACACAGGGUUCGCUCGGGGCGUAAGGAUGGGGGAAGAAUGUAACGGUUGGGAACAUAGGUUAGCCCCUCUUCAUUUAGUGUCAUGGCACUAGUAAAUGAACCAUUUGGUGAAGCUGAGCUAUCUCUCAUUUUUCCAACCAUAUGGUGCUCUUUUUCCCUUUAUGUUUAUGGCUUAUCUCCCUAUUUAUAAGCAACAAAUGUGGAGAUAAGAUUGGAGUUUUUGAUUAUUUAUGCAGUUAUAUAUGUAAUGAAUAUACGUAUAAUGUGAUGGUACCAUGAGUAUAACCAAUGGAGAAAUAGAGAGUACUCAUACUUGAAGAGCCACAAAAUGAAACAUUAUAAGCUUGUAGUAA